rfam:Aedes albopictus isolate Foshan contig37895, whole genome shotgun sequence.
CUUCUCGUGGUGUAGUUGGCACCGCGUCUGUCUAGUGAGUAGGAGUCGUGGGUUCGAAUCUCACCAAGAGGA